rnacentral:rRNA from 1 species
UGAUCAGGAGUAGACUAACAGGAUUCCCCUAGUAACGGCGAGUGAAGCGGGAAGAGCUCAAAUUUAAAAUCUGGCAAUCUUUGGUUGCCCGAAUUGUAAUCUAGAGAAGCGUUUUCCGUGCUGGACUGUGUACAAGUUUCCUGGAUACGGAACAUCAUAGAGGGUGAGAAUCCCGUCCUUGACACAGACUCCCAGUACUUUUGUGAUGCGCUCUCGACGAGUCGAGUUGUUUGGGAUUGCAGCUCAAAAUGGGAGGUAAAUUCCUUCUAAAGCUAAAUAUUGGCGAGAGACCGAUAGCGAACAAGUACCGUGAGGGAAAGAUGAAAAGCACUUUGGAAAGAGAGUUAAACAGUACGUGAAAUUGUUAAAAGGGAAACGCUUGAAGUCAGUCGCGUUUGCUUGGACUCAGCCUAACUUCGGUUUGGUGCAUUUCCUUGCAGACGGGCCAGCGUCCAUGUUGUUCUCCGGAAAAGGGGUGAGAGAAUGUGGCUCCUUUGGGAGUGUUAUAGCUUUCAUUCGUAUGCGGGGGAUGAUAUGGAGUGGUACAGCAUGCUUCGGUGGUGCUUGUGCUGGCAUAAUGGCUUUAAACGACCCGUCUUGAAACACGGACCAAGGAGUCUAACAUGUCUGCGAGUGUUUGGGUGGAAAACCCGGGCGCAUAAUGAAAGUGAUGGCUGGGAACCCCUUUUUGGGAGGCACCGGCGCCCCGAGCUGACCUUCUGUGACGCAUCGGAGGCAGAGCAUAUAUGUUGGGACCCGAGAGAUGGUGAACUAUGCCUGAAUAGGGCGAAGCCAGAGGAAACUCUGGUGGAGGCUCGUAGCGAUUCUGACGUGCAAAUCGAUCGUCAAAUUUGGGUAUAGGGGCGAAAGACUAAUCGAACCAUCUAGUAGCUGGUUCCUGCCGAGUUUCUCUUCCCGGAAAACAAAAACAG